ensembl:lncRNA
UCCUGGUCUAGUCCUGGUUUAGUCCUGGUUCAGUCCUGGUUUAGUCCUGGUUUAGUCCUGGUUUAGUCCUGGUUCAGUCCUGGUUUAGUCCUGGUUCAGUCCUGGUUCAGUCCUGGUUUAGUCCUGGUUCAGUCCUGGUUUAGUCCUGGUUCAGUCCUGGUUUAGUCCUGGUUCAGUCCUGGUUUAGUCCUGGUUUAGUCCUGGUUCAGUCCUGGUUUAGUCCUGGUUUAGUCCUGGUUCAGUCCUGGUUUAGUCCUGGUUUAGUCCUGGUUUAGUCCUGGUUUAGUCCUGGUUUAGUCCUGGUUUAGUCCUGGUUUAGUCCUGGUUUAGUCCUGGUUCCUCU